CCCUCAAUGUCCCCCAUUUUAAAGACCCUAUUUAGAGCUCUGACUCCGCCCACUGCUCAUCCAGGGAGGAGCAGGACCCAUGUGAUGGUGGGCGAAGCAGAAUGGCGAAUGUCCUAGGGUCUUCCCUUAAAUAACCUAAAAUCUAUUCUGGUCUUACACCACCUGCCCAUUUGGACGCUAACUCCCUGCUUUAAAGAGAAGGAACACUGAAGGCUCAGGAAUGCACAGGGGUCGACCCAAGAGGCGGGGUAGAUUUUGAACCCUGGGCUUCUGAGGCCAGCCAUAAGCUUCCACUGCUCCACAGAGGUCUCUGGCCGGCAUCUGCCUUUUGCCAAUAUCUGGCUGGUGCUCCCUCCUCUCUGCGCCAUGUUCCUUGCGCCUGUCCCCGACGCUCACAGAAAGCUUCUGAAGUGACAACGGGGAUAUAGCGACCUUUAUAUUAAAAGCUCAGAAAAUCCUGGAGCAUCAAAAUCUUUGAAAAGCUGCAAGACUGGAGAAGAGAGGUGGAACGAACGGGACUCCAGCUCCUUCCUUUUCAAUACAGACCACGCCAAGGAAGGAGGCCCUGGGAGAACCUGGCAUCCUGAGAGGUAAGGGGCAGGGGCAACUCACCAGAGACAUUGCUGGCCAGGGACAGGCUCUCACACUGCUGAUCCUGGAGGGAGGUGGAGACGGGGUUCAGCCCCAGAAGGAGAAGGGCCUGUGGGGAUAAGGGGUACAGGACACUGUUAGGGGUGCUCAGCUGUCUGACCUGAUGACUCUUGCCCCUCCUCCUCUGCCCAGCAUCCUCCCCUUUCCCAGUCUCCUGGUGCCCUCCUGAAUGUUUGAAAUUGCCCGGUUCACAGAGAGCUGGGGAUGGAAGCUGGUGUUUGUCUCUGGCCAUCUCCACAUGUCCAACCAGGUCCCUACAAAGGCAUGUACACACAUUUGCACCCAACCUUCUACCUCCCCUUCCUCAUGUGGCAAACUCCUCUGAUGUACUGUGAUAUCUACGACAGCGUAAUUCUCCCUGGGGCCAGCAUGGGUAUGACGAUUGCAGAUAGAGAAACGGAGGCACUGAAGAAAUGAUCUGGGAAGAUUCUAGAGAAGGCCUUUGUCCUUUAACCCCAUUGAGGGCUCUGUGUCACUCUGACUCCAGGAUCACAGCCCUUUUGGGGUGGGAGCAGUGUGGCCCUAUGACUGGAAGGCUGUCUCCUUUUGAAGGGACAGCCUCAACCACGAUGAUACCUUUCUUAGGUUACUGCUGUCUCUAAGGUUAGAGUCUGGGAGGGUGGGCUGUGUGACCGAUCUGGAUCACAGUGUCUGCACCCUUAAGCAAGUUCAUCUGUCCCCUGUGUUUGAGAACGUGUAUUGUGCUUGAAUUUGGCAACUAAGUUCGGAAUGAUGCUGUGUUGUGGCUAUACAAUAGGUGCUCAAUGAGGACAUGCAGAUUGACUUGAACUCAGUGGUUGUUAUCUGGUCUAUCGAGGUAGAGACAGGGGUCGGAGUUGUGUCUGUUGGGGGUUCCUUUUGCAAGGGGGCCCAGAAGCAAGUGGGGAUAGGGGAGGGGCACUACCACAUGCAUCAUCUCCUUCAUGUGGGAGAAGAACCCCGAGGUUGGAUGGCAACCCUGGAUGUGUUCUUCACACAGCACUCCACUCUCUCCUGUUCCCCUCUUUGCAAGCCCUAGGCUUGAGAGGAUUAUCAAAAAGGAACAGUAUACCCAGCUUUAGAAGCAAAAUGGAACCCUCGUUUCUUUAAUUUGAUUGUGGCUGAUUCUCUCUUUGUGUGACUAUCCAUUUGUCCAUCUGUCUCCCUUCUGAAGCUAGUUUUCUGUGUUCCCCUGAUAGAAAUGUCCCUAUCUCUUCCCAUCCAGCAAUCCCCCAGCCUCAACAAUACCUACUUCUCCCUUCUGUCAGAGGUUGAUGACAAAGGCAGUCUGCUGCCUUCUUUCCCACCACGCAUUUGUAUUCCUGACCAGAGCUUGGACCUAGUCCCCACAAGGAUCACCCCUAAAUCCUGGUGACUUACAGAGUCACAUUGUCCCCCUUGGUGUCUGCCCAAGUCUUUAGUGGGCUUUUUCUAAUUCACUCCCUCACCUCAAGCAUCCUCCCUCCAUCUCGCUCUAGGACUCUCUUUGCUGACACAGCUUCAGAUUCUUCAAUCGUCCCCAGUCCCACCAUUCCUGUGCAGGUUCAGAGCUGCUCUGCCAUCAGCCCUGGGGAUAGUAAACUCACUCCAGGGCCUUGGUGGUGGUUAGGAUAAAGCCAAUUGCUGCCCUGGCCCCAAGCAACUUCCCACACUUUAUUAAUCAGUAAUUAAGUUUCAAUCUCCAGAGAGGUGACGAAAUAUCAUUAGCCUCAUUUUCCAAAUGCAAAGGCAGAAGUGGAGAGAAGAGGAAGCCAAGGGGCUCGCGGGUGGCUCUUGACAGCUAAGCAGAGGGCAGUGUCCUUUUGACAAAGCUCUGCAGUAGCUCACUCAGAGUCAGCAGGGACCCAGGCUCUGUGCUCUCCCCAGAGAUGUGUAAUGGCUGCUGGGGAGAGAGGUCCCUGAUAGAAAAUCCUGUUCUCCUUCACCUCCUAACGCAUACACACAAAUCAACCAAGCAAGCAAGCAAUCAAUAGUUAAUCAGUCAAUCAAUCUCAUUUCAGUCAUAGGCAAGUUAAAUAUAAACUUUGAACCCUAUUGGACAAUAUCAGCCCACUGCCUGACUCCUAGCCUUAUCAAUUUAAUACUUAAAUCAUGCUUCCAUCUUUCAGCUUCCCCUUGAAGACACAUCAUACCCCAUUCCCAUCUACCUACCCUGCAUCCUUUCUCGCCACACAGCCCCUCCUCUUCUGGUCCACCUUUGCCUACACAGUCUUUGUCUCUUCUAACCUUGUCCAGCACCCGGUGACUCAGCUGUCCUUAGAGCCAAAACCCCUCCUUAGCACUCUAAAAGCAAAAUGACUCAGUAUACCCUUUUGGUGUGCCCUCAGUACGCCCCCAUACCCUGCUUGUGUUAGGGAUGUUCCCAGUGGAGGCCUUGGGGUAGUCCGGAGUGUGCGAAAGCCAGCUCAUUACUGCACACACUCAACCCAGCUCUAAUUAGAUGAGGAAUUCGAGGACCGGAAGCUCUUAUUCACACAUUUUAAUGUCCUGGAGUUCAUUAGAGCAGAAACCCAGAUUUGAGGGGGUGGGGGGGGGAAGAACCAAAUGCCACAGGGCAAAGGGCUCAGCUGACCUUGAACCCUGUUUCUUGUCUGUCUGUCUGUCUGUCUGUCUUGGAUCUGCUUGGUCAUAGAGCUGUUUUCUGCUCACAGAGGACCUGGGCUGCAUUAUGCAAAGGCAAACACUUCUUAAAAUUCCUAAGCUGGUCUUUCCUCUCCAAAAGGUCAGCUCUGUGGCAGAAUCUUUACCUGCGCCCCCUCCUGCUCUGUGGAGGUUUAUAAAAGCUUCCAGCUAAUUCUGAAAUCCUACUUCCAUAAAAGGCCAAGUGUUUCCCUCUUGCAGACUGUGGAUCUCUCCCACCGUCACCUCAGCUUCCCCUCUCCAUCAGCAGGAGAAGGCUCUGCUGGCAGCCAAAGGCUCCCAAACUUUCCAGGCUAAUGUCCUCUUAAUGAAGAUUUGUUUGUUUGUUUGUAGCAAGGUUCUCUAAGCAGUCAAGGCUGGCCCCAAACUCAAAAUUCCCCUGUCUCAGUCUCCCAGGCUCAAGGAUUAAAGGUGUGUACCACCAUGAUCAGCUUAAACUGGGAAUUUUGGGGGGUGGGGGUGGGACAGGGUUUUUCUGUGUAGCCCUGGCUGUCCUGUAACUUGCUUUGUAGACCAGGCUGGCCUUGAACUCACAGACAUCCUCCUGUUUCUGUCUCCCAAGUGCGCCACCACACCUAGCAAGACUGGGAAUUCUUAAUCUGAGCUCCACAAACACACUGGGAGUGGUGGCCAGUGUGAAUACCCUGUAAUUAAUUGUGGAAUGGUUUUUAUAAAUAUUUUUUCUUUUUUUAAAUCUUUUUUUUCCAGGACAGUUUGUCACUGCCUCUACUCCACAAGGCCCAGGCAUCCAUACAACCAGAUCUGGGUCUUCUUAAAUCAGAACAAAGUGCAUGUAGCCUGAGAACCACUACUCCCUUUGUGUCUACCCUGUUUUCUCCUUUCAGCCUUAGCACUGGACACUGGCUGUGUAUUCAGAACUACUUUUUAAACUUUGUGCAGUGUGUAUGUGCGUGUGCAUGUAGGCAUGUGUGUGUGUGUAUGUGUGUGUUGCAUGCCCAUGAGUGUGUGCAGCACAUGAAAGUGGAGUUCAGAGGAAGAAGAAAUAGAAGAACCCGUCCUCUAUUUCUCUCUCCCUUAUUUCUCAGAGACAGGGUUUGUCCGGGAAGCACACACAGGGCAGGAGGGGGCGCAGGUAAAGAUUCUGCCACAGAGCUGAUCUUUAGUGAGUCUGGCUGACCAGUGAGUUCCUGGGCUCUGUCCCCUAAUGCUGGGGUUACAAACAUGAGCAGUCAUUUGCAACAUCUUACUAGGGUAUUGAGGUUCAAACUCAGGCCCUCACACUUAUGUAACAAGCAAGGUCUCUCACAGACAGAGUCAUUCUCCCAGGCCCCGACAACUAGUUUUGAAAAAACAAUUUUUCAGUAUCUCAUGAAACUUGCUGUUUUCCUUUUUUCCCCCAAUAAUUUAUUUUUUUUAAUUCACUUUACAUUCCAAUCGCAGCCCCCUCCCUCUUCUCCUCCCAGUCCUGCUCUUACAAGUCCCUCUCCUCUUACCCCUCCCCUUCUCUUCAGAGAAAAGGAAGCCCCCUUUGGAGAGCACUCCAUCCUGGGACAUCUAAUCCCAGCAGGACUAGGUGCAUCCUCUCCUGCUGAGGCCUGAUCAAGCUAGGAGAAGGGGAUCCAAUGUCAGGCCACAGAGCCAGAGACAGCCCCUGCACUAACUGUUAGGGAACCCACAUGAAGACCAAGCUGCACAUCUGCUACAAAUGUGUAGGGGGGCUAUGUCCAGCUCCUGCAUGUCCUUUGGUUGAAACUUGCAGUUUUCUGGCUAGCAGAGAAGCUAAAAUGCUGUAAACGAGCUGGCAUACUUCACUCACUGGUCAAUGGUUGGGCCUGUACCCCAGCCUGCCAGCCCCGGACCCCAAACAAAACUUCUGUCUCACUGCUAAACCUCGGCAAGCCUUGAAGGUCUAGUCUGAGAAGGACAAGGCCACCCUGCUAUUCAAAGAGGUCACCUGCCUUCGAGAAGCUGCGCAACGGAUGUCAGGCCUUGGCAAGCACAGGGCACCCACAGUGGGAGAGGGAAGGGAGCCAUAGAGAAGCAAGGAAAGUGGUAAGAUGUCUCUGGAGGGCUGGUGGGAGGGCUGAGCCUGACAGCUGCCUGCUCCAGCUCCAGAGCCCUGCCCCCCAGGCCAGCACAGUCUGAGCCACCACCCCAGUUCGCACUGUGACUUUGGCAUAAAGGUUAAUCACACCCCGAAAAUGCUUAUUAGAGACCACAAAUAACCGCCUUCCUGAAGCUCCAUUUGGUCUUUGAGGCACAAAGUACAAUCUUCUUUGAUGGGACGAUUCCAUGAUUAUUAACCGUUACCACAGGAGGGAGGGAGAGGUGGCCUGGAAGCAGCCAAGGCCACCCCCACCUCCUCAAAGUUUCUGAAGAAUCAAGGGAGGGAUCUGCCUUCCUUUCCAGAAUCAUCCUGGGAGGUGAGCUCCAGGGCAGGUGUGACAACCUCAGGGCACUGCACUGGGCCCUUUUUCUUCACCCUCCUAGAGCUCAGAGUGCUGUUCUUACUGAGUGAGUGGCUGGCCUUUCACAUGUAACUUCCUUUUAUGUGAAGCAAGAACAGUGAAGUUGGGAGGUGGACCUUCUAGGGACCAAUAGAGGAAAGCUUCUGGAAUAUGAGGCCAGCAGAGCCAUUCUCACUCUCUGCCCCCUCUGGGACUCAGAAUCCUCCUUAGCUAUUUUUUCCCUGAGACAGGUUUUUUCUGUGUAGCCUUGGCUGUCUUGGAACUCACUCUGUAGACCAGGCUGGUCUCGAACUCAGAAAUCCUCCUGCCUCUGCCUCCCAAGUGCUGGGAUUAAAGGUGUGCACCACCACGCCCGGCUUCCUCCUUAGCUUUUGAGGGCAGGCUUGGUAUAACAUGCAUGAGGCUGACCCUGCCCCAUGCCCUCGCUACCUUACUCAUGGUCUGCCCCUCUCUGUAAGCAUGUAUCUGGGAAGGGGUUUCAGCCUAAAAGAAUGGCGGUUUGUUGUUUACCUUGCUUAUUUUGCAAGCCCUUGCUAAGCUGAGGUUCUAUGUUCAUGGAGUCCAAAGCUCAGAACUUGAUUUGUAGAAGAAUAAAGGAAUUCAGAAGCAGAAAGCACCAGGUGAGCAUAAUAUGUGUGCGCACGCACACACAUGCACACAUACAUGUACACACACACACACCACACAAUUCAGAGACAGAAAUCACCAGGACAAUAUCACACAUGUACACACACACACACACACACACCUCAUGACGACAAAGAGUGUAACUGAGUACAGGGAAGGGGCUGCACUGCAUGACCAUGAAUGGGUUUCUGGAGGGAGGAGAGCCUAUGAAGGGGGACACAGUCAGGAAGAGAAACAUUCUUGACCUGGGGAGACUCAAGCUAGUCAGAGUUGGAGGACUCAGACACUAAGUGGAGAUGGAUCCAGGAGGCCAGGAGAGCCAACACGGAUUUCUGGGCAGCAGACAACUGGAUCUGAUCAGUGCUAUCAUUUGCAGGUGUGAAAACUGAGGCCUGAAAGGAAAUUGGAAGCCAGAUCGGAUACUUGAGGCGGACCCAUUGGAUCUUGAUAGAACUGAGCUCAGGAGAACGUGGGAACCCUGGCUCACAAGCGUCAAGCAGAGGAGUCAGUGUUGGUGAGGACCACAAGCUCUACACAGCCCGGCUGAGACGCGGAGGGGACAUCUUUGCUUCUUUGGAUCCACAGAGGUGCCCAAAUGAUGAGUCAGGGCAAUGCCAGACUAAGGACAGAAUGCAACAGUACCCCAUGUCCUUUCUCAGCCUUCCUGCUUUUCCCUACACAAUCCUUUCUCCCCUCCCCGCCCCAACCCCACCCGUGCCCCAGACCAGGUCCCCUCCAAUGAUCUCUGUUGACGGUCACAACCUGUCCCCAUCUCUAGGUAAAGAGCCUGUCUCUCUACAACCCGCCCCAGAGUGGGUGAGCAGUGAAAGAUUAUUGCAGGCAGACAAGAAAUAAUGUAUUGUUGCAUUUAAUUAGGUUAAAUUGCUGUUGUACAGAGAAGAAAAAAACGGACGGGAAAAUCUCCUGCCUACACUCAAGGGGGUGCAGGCCUGGGUGUUCCCCACCUCCAGACUGUCUCCCUGGGUCCUAAGCUCCCAUGUGCCCUCCCCAAUCCCUACCCUUGCUCCUGCCUCACUUCUUUUCCUCCCCUCAUGGAGGCCUCACAGUGGAACUGGACCUGUCCUUACCCCAGCUCCUCUCAUUGGGCAGUGGAUUUUACACAUGGCCUUGGAGAGUACUGGAGUAUGUCUGCUAGGGCUGUAAGCUCCUGGGAUAGGGUCUGUGGCUGUUUUGAUAUCCUCAAUGAAUUGGGAGACAUGGGGAAUGAAUGAAUGAAUGAAUGAAUGAAUGAAUAAGACAGUUUGAUUUUCUCUUUCUACCCCCUUGAUCCAAAGGGUCGUGUGAUAAUUUCCACAAUGACUUUUUCAACCCUUCCCCUCUCUCCCUUCCUCUCUCCUCCCUUCUCUUCCUCCCUCCUUCUGUCUCUUCCUUCCUUCCUUCCUUCCUUCCUUCCUUCCUUCCUUCCUUCCUUCCUUCCUUCCUUUUCUUCUUUUUCUCCCUUUUGUUUUCUGGGACAAGAUCUCACUCUAGCCUAGGAACUCGCUCUGUACCCUAGACUGGCCUUGACUCUCUUGGCAAUCCUUCUGCCUCAUCCUCCUUGUGCUGAGAUUCCAGGCAUGCGCCACUGUGUCCAGCUCCACCAAGACAUUGUGACAUCUCCUUAUUUCUCCCUUCCUUCUCUCUUCCUGGUGGUGUGGGUCCCUUCUCUUGUUCUGGCUUCCUGCACAGCAUGCCCGCCUUGGGUCAGCCUGAGAGCUGAGCUCAGGAAAGGUACACCCUGGUGAAGGUGUUUGGACACCUGGAGUGUGGUUUGGAGAGACUUGGUCUGGGACAGUGGACAAGUUGCUGCCCAGCCUCAGUUUCCACAAGUGUGAAAUGAAUAGAACACUUGUUCUCCAGGUAUGAAUAUGCUCUAGCUCCAAGACUCCCAGGAAAGCCCAAACCCAACCUCUAACUCAGGGGAGAUCCACAGUGGGACACCUUACUGCCCAGGCCCAUGUGUGUAACCUUGAGAAAACCACUGAUCUCCCAGUCUUUUCCCCUGUCUCUAGAUGGGACUAGUUAGAAUGAAAUAUCUACACCCAGAAGCUCUUGGAAAGAUUUGAUGAGUCAGCGCAUACUGAAUAACAAGGGGCCAAGGGGCUGGCUAGCUCUUCAGUGAUGGGCUUCCUCCCUGCUGGGUGCUUCUUCCAUACCAGAAGUGCCCCUGCCUGGUCUCCUGCCCAUCACCCUCCAUCACCAGUCUGUUCCCAGGAGCUGUGGUCACCUACAAAAGUGUGUGUCACCCUGAAUGUGGACUAGAUGGCCUUGGACAUGAGGACAUGGAGUGGUACCUAUAUCUAAUCCCCAUGAUGAUGGUUAAUUUCCACUACAGGCCUGAUUGGGUUAAGAAAUACAAUGAUGUCUAGACUACAGAGUAAGUCCCAGGAUAGCUAGCCCUGUUGCCCAGAGACACUCUGUCUUGAAAAAGCAACCAUCAGAACCCCAGAAGAGAAAGAAACAAAACAAGGCACACCUUUGGAUGUCUCUUUGAGGGAAUUUCCAGAGAGAGGCUAAAUCUCAAUCAACGAGGAGGAAAAACCCACCCUGAAUAUGGGUGACAGCAUCCUACGGUCUGAAGUCUGACAGUGAAUGAAGGGGUUAGGGGGAGGAGAAAAUGGGCUGACUGUGGGCAAGCCCCUCUCUCUGCUUCUUGGUCAGGGCCGUGGACCACCCUGCUUCUCCUUCUGUGAUGGACUGUGCUCCCCUGAACUGCGAGCCAAAACCAACCCUUCCUCCUUCUGUUGUUUUUGUCAGUUAUUUGGUCACACUGAGAAGGACAGUAACUAAAACACCCAUCCCAAAUCUGCCUGUCACUCACUCACUGCCCUAAGCGAGUCUUAGUUAGGGUUUCUAAUGUGUCGCUCCAUCAUCACCAGAAGCAAGUUGGGGAAGAAAGGGCUUAUUUAAUGUUACAGUUGUGCAUCAGGAAAGUCAGGGAAGGAACUCAAGCAGAGGCCAUGGAGGAGUGCGGCUUACUGGCUUGUUCUUCAUGGCUUGCUCAGCCUGCUUUCUUAUACAGAGCCACUCACUACCCAGGGUUGUCAUCGCCUACAAUGGUUGGGCCCUUUCAUAUGGGCUGUUAUUAAGGCAAUAUCAUGAAAACCUGCCUGUAGGCCAACCUUUUGGUGGCAUUUUCUCCAUUGAGAUUCUCCCUUCCAGGGCCGGGCAGUGGUGGCGCACACCUUUAAUCCCAGCACUUGGGAGGCAGAGGCAGGUGGAUUUCUGAGUUCGAGGCCAACCUGGUCUACAGAGUGAGUUCCAGGACAGCCAGAGCUAUUAAAAAAAAAAAAAGAUUCUCCCUUCCAAAUAACCCUAACUUGUGUCAAGCUGACGAUUAACUAGCUAGGAUGGUAUGACUUGUUCUCUGAUAGCCUCGGUGACUUGUUUGUCCACUGUAGGCCUCUGGCCUCCUUCCUUGCCUUUCUAUUACCUGGUUUCACUGAAGACUUACCCAUUAACAGCCUCGGUGGUACUGUUUCUCAUUGCUGUGGUAUGAAUAGGAGUAGCCCCCAUAGGUUCAUAGAUUUGAAUGCUUAGUCAUUAGGGAGUGGCACUACUUGACAGUGAUUGUGGCCUUCUUGGAGGAAGUAUGUCACUAGGGGUGGGCUUUGGGUUCCAAAUGCUCAGGCCAGGGCCACUGUCUUUCUUUCUGUCUGCUCCCUGUGGGUCAGGAUGAAGAGUUAGCUACUUUCCAGCAGUGUGUCUGCAUGCAUACCACCAUGUUUCCCACAACGAUGACCAUGGACUAAGCCUUUGAAAGCAAGGAGCAGUUAAAUGUUUUCCUUCAUCAGAGUUGUCAUGGCCAUAGCGCUUCCUCACAGAAAUAGCACAUUGCUGCCCAAGAUACUCAUGUAAUCUCACCCCAUCUCAAGCUGGAGCCCCUACCACUUCUCCACUGUGUACAAAUGUCAAACUGGUGUGAACAGAGUUUGCUCAUGGCUGUUACCCUAGCAACUGGAGGCACUAGGAUGGAAGCCGUUCUCUGAUCUUAGCAAGACGGCUUGUUCCCUGAGCCCUUUUCUAAGCCUGAUGCAUCCAAGUAGGUACAGGUUUCUUUUUGCCUCUUCACCUGUAAGUCAUAGCUAGAGCUGCAGCAUGCAGUAAGAACAUGGGAGCAGGGUCCCUUAUGGGACCAGGAUGACAAGAGUUAUUUAGGUAGAACGUAGAUUGAUUCUCACAGAUGCAUGGAGCCUGCACUGGGCUCUAAUCCUGCUCCCAGUUGGGGAACUGGAAGCUAUGGGCUGUGUGUGAUCCCUGGAUGCUGAUACGUUUCCUCAAGGAGGCAGAAGCCAAAUUCCAGGUGUCAGGACAGCUUUGGAGACAUCAGCCCUCCAGGUGAUGCCCCCCCCCACAUACCCUGGGGGCUCCUGAUUGGCUGCACAGAGACAAGUGUGAAGUUGGCGGUCGCCAUGUGGUGGCAGAAGCUUGCCCCUGGAGGAGAAGCACUUCAGACAUGAUUUUGAGUCGUCUGGGAAGGAAGAAGGAGACUGCUUGGCAGCUGGCAAGUGGGUCUAUGAUAGAAAGCCUAGAGCUUCAGCAACUGGAUGUUGCGGGUGAGCAGCUGCCUGCCAAGGUCACUCGGGAGCACGAGCUAGUGGCUGCUGGACCAAGGCUCACUGAGCAGAAAUUAGGAAUAAUCAUGGGACAGGCAGUGGCCUUGUCUAUGGUUCUCAACUAGGUGAUGCGUGGCAGCAAUCAGAGGGAAGAGUGACUGGCACAUAGCCAGUAGAGGCCCGAGGUGCUGAACAUCCCAGUGUCCAAGGCAGCUCCCACGGCCAAGAACUGUUGUCCCAUGUCAGCGAUUACCUGGUUGGUAAAGUGAGGCAUGAGGUCCCCAAGUCUGGUCUCUAGAACCCACAUACAAAUGUUACAUGUGAUGCACACUCAGAAUUCAGUGCUGAGGAGUUGGAAACAUGCAAAUCCCUAGAGACUGAUGGUCAGCCCAGUUUAGCCUAAUUGGUGAGCUCCAGACCCAAUGAUAAUACCUAGGGUUGUCUUCUGGCUUCAAUACACGCACACACACCAAACAAACAUCAAAACUACUAACACCAAAUGCCAGCAAUAGUGGCCUUGGCCAGCCCUAUUCUGAAGGUACUCACCUGUCUGCUCAUUAGGAGGAGGAAGGGAGACAAUGGAGGUCCUUGGGGGAAAAAGAAACCACACAAGGAAAGAGCCUUCUAUACCCAGGACGCUCUGGCUGCUCUCUGUCCAUCAACAGCUCGUGAACCAGUCAUCCCCUUUUGUGGCUUCAAGUUGCGAUCAGAGGACUGGUGGCUACCCCUACCUGGCUAGCUAACCCUCUUCCAACCAGCUCCUCCAAGCUCUUCCUGGGUGGGAUGCUACAGAAGGCCAGAAAGAUGAGGAAAGAUGGAUUGUUGGUGUGACUGAAGCUCAGUGGCAGACAGCACAGGUCAGAACAGGGUCCUGGGCUCGGGGCUUUGCCUCUUUUAUCUAGACUGAGUCUCAGCCAAUUGGCAGAACCACUACAUGCGGGCCAUGGUAGCUUUAGAUGAACCCACGAUAAAGGAAAAACUUCUUUGGCCUCUCUGCGGCACUGAGACCCACUGACUAUGCUUAGGCUUCCUCUCAUCUCAGUGACAAGGGACAGGUUGACACAUGUUUUAGUUAGGGAUUCUGCUGCUAAAGAACAAGAAGGAAGAAGCCAGAGUGUGCCGGCACUUCCCUGUCAGAGUAAUCCACACAGUUUCCUCCUGGCUCCACACCAGAGAUGCUCUCUAACUCAGGUCCCUAUAGCAGAGCUGAAGAGAAGACACAAGGCACACACAAUGAUUCCGGCCUUGAUGGUGAAAAUUGUAGCCCCCAGGUGCAUCUCAGAGCAGAGCUUGCUACUCCAAGCAUGCUUAGGACCAGUUUGGGCAGAGUUGCCAAGGGCAAAUUGUUUGAUACCAGCCCACAGCGUGCUAAGUCCAAAAAUCGAGAAUGACUAUUUAGAAACUUAGAUGGGAAUUUGUCCUUGCUGUGACACCCAAGCAAGUUGUCAAUAAACUCAUCUCCUUGAACUGGGUCUAGACUGAUCCCAGUGUUUGUCAGACUAGCAAGGUGAAUCACGGGGUGCCGCUGCCGGGACCACAUGCCAGUCUGCAGAGGACUGGAAAAUCCCCGUGGUCUUUCUCUCUGCUGGCUAGCUGGAGGACAGAGCUCCAACUGGCUCAUUAUGGAAGUCCUCGUGGAAGAGACAGUGUGAGUGACUGCUGAGCUUAGCGUGGGGCAGAGAGGACGGCCGAUACCCACGAAAGUAGCAGGGCCCCCUGUUUGAGCUUUAGUGGUUGCAGGCUGCUCACUGCACAACAUCUCCUAUUAUUCCCCAUCAUUGUCCAGGUAAAGAGGGUUCAGAAACCUAGAGAGACUUCCCAAAGGUCACCCAAUCAGGACGUGACAGAAUUGACUCUAACCUCAGGACACCUGCUCUUUUGGCACUGGGGACAGUGCUCCUUUCUUGUGACACUCAGGGUACAUAUUAGCCCUGCCACUCCUGGCCUGGGUCUCACAGCCUCGUAGUGUCAUUUACUUCAGACCAUGGGGCCCAACUAUCUGCAGAGAAAGGACGCAAGGCUGUCCCACUGCCACCCACAAGGAGCUGGGGGCAUGUGACAUACACUCAGGACAAGACCGAUUAGAGGAGAGAGCAAUGCUACUGUUCUGAGUCUCUUCUGCAUUUUCUGGUUCCUCCUGUCUGGCUGCCUGAAGGAUCAGAACACCUCCAAUCCCAUCUGGGGCACAGAAGUGACCCAGGCCUGUUCUGUGACACCCCAGUCUCCAGCCUGGGCCCUGGCCUCCCCUUGGUGAUAUUGCUCCAGAAACUCUCAGGAUACAGACCUGCCUGUCCACAUGUGGACUGCCCCUCAGCACAUGCCAGGAGACACAGGGCUGGAACCUCUGAGUGUUAUUGAGCGCUCAGCAUCAGGAUACAAAGCUAUCCUUGGGUACUAGGGAGAAAGGAAAGGCCAGAAUGACCAAAGUAGUUGUGCAAGCCAGCUUCCUUCUCAUGCUUGCUCAGAUCUCAUGUUCAUGUUCUUUCUCCUCCAUUACCCAGUGAAGCCUCUCUCUACCAGACUGUCUGUCUUGAAGAUAGACUCCCCUAUCAAAACAAAACUGUCCACCCCUAGUAGGCUGUGGACAAGACUGGUCAUUCAGUACAGGAGUCUGUAUGGUCCUAGAAGGACCACUCCCUACUUGUGUUCUUUCUCAAUCCUUUCUCAUCAGCCAAGACUUUCCCGUCUCUGCGGCUGCCUGGGCCUUCCUCUUUUUCCCAUCUAUGCCCACUGGCUGCCCACCAGCAAUGCCUUCAUGAGAGAAGGAGGUCAAUGAGCCAGAAGAGGCCUUCCAGCAACCACUUAGCCCUUGCCAAGAAGGUCGAGAAAGGAAAGACGUCAGAGGGAAGGAUUUCACCCUGCCCUUGUCAGAGGACACGCUUGUGCCCGUCGCCAGCUCCUGUUCUAGCUGUUUACCUGGGCUGGCUGCAUUUUAUCUCUGUGGUUCUGUGUACUUACCAGGGACCUUAACCAAUAAGCUGUUCUCAGUUCUCUGAAUGCCCUGACCUCCCGGUGCCCAAAGACUCAACCAAGAUUCCUACAAUGCCUCAGGACAGCCUUACAUCUCUGCCAGGGGUAUCCUACCAUGGCCCCAUGGCCACAUUACACUCUUGGGUGGUAGGCUGGACACCUCCAACACUUACUGAGUGACUCAGACAGUUCUUUAUCUAGCAUGACCCAAAGAAGCCAAAAGCUUGGGAAUCCCUGUGUCCAAACACAGAAGACUCCAAAGUCAGCUCAAACAAUCUCCCUGGCUCUCAGCAGUGAAGCAGAUGGACCUGCCUGUCCAGUUUCUCUUCUGGACUUUGACCUAGAUGCCCUGGCUCCCCACCAGACCAAAGAUCAGGAUGAUAGCAGAGAGGAAUAGGUGCCACUCAGACCACCUCUGGGCUCCUGUGGUUGCUGUUCCCUGGACCCAGCAGACCAGUGACAGGAUUGUCUGUUUCCAUGGCAUCUUCAUGUGGUCCAGGAGCACAUGGUGGAUGGCUGCCAACAUGGAGGAAUCUCAACAGGUGGCCCUGGGCACAGAGAACUGCGUCCUGGAGCAGAAUUCUGACGUGUCCUCUGCACACUAAAGGGAGGACCUUUCCCACCCCCGAGAUGAAAUUCUGAGAGACUAGGCUCCCUCUUGCCCCAUCUUCCUGCCUUUUAAUUUCAUGGAAGCAGCUCCUGCUUCUAAAAUAAGAGGUUAAUACUGUGCUUCCUGACAGACCCCAAGGAGUUGUUUUCAAAAUAAUUGCCUGUAUCUGAAAGUUAAUCACAUUGUAUCACCCUCCUUGCAAGUGUCUAUUUUUACUGACAAAUGUUUCCACCCGCCAGUGUGGCCUCUGACCUUGAGCUCAGCUGUAGGCUAGAGCUCUAGCCUUUCAGAGGGUGAAGGUAGAGUAGGGUGGGGUGGGAUGUGAAACGUGAAAAACCCUGGGGAUGUUCCCUCCUCUCUACUGCUUCUCCUCCUCCCUUCUGCCCAUUCUUCUCCUCUUCUAGUUUUUUGUUUGUUUGUUUGUUUGUUUUUGUUUUUAAUAGGGUCUCAUGUAGCCCAGGCUGGCCUAAAAUUCACUAUGUAGUCCAGUAUGACCAACAACUUCUAAUCCUCUUGUUAUUACCUGAGUGCUGGAUGACAGAUACGUGAGCCACCAUGCCUGGUUUACUCAGGGCUGAGAGUCAAACCUAGGACUCCUUGUAUGCUAGGCAAACACUCUAAGACUUAAUGAACUACAUUCCCAUUCCUAUCCCCUCCCCGACCUCUGACAGCCUUUCUUAGACCGGAGACAUUGGUAGGAUAUCUUAUAGACAACUCUAGUUCAUACUUAUGAAGGGCAGAUGGUAUGCCAGACCCUUUAGGACUGUUUCAUGCCACACUCAACAAUGCAGGAAGUCACGGUUACCCCAUUUUCCCAAUUUUGGGGAAAGUGUGUAUAUGUGUUGUGCUGAGUGUGUGAUAUAUGUGCUUGUGUGAUAGAGCAUGCUCAUGUAUGCACAUGUGUGGUCAGGACAGCGAUGGAUAUCAGGUAUCUUUCUUCUAUGACUCUUCAUCGUUACUUUAUAAGGUAGCACCUUUCACUGAAACUGUAAGCUCAUUGAUUAGUCUGGGCUGGGCUGGUGGAUGGAUGCGCUUCAAGGAUCUUAGAAUGUCUUAGAAUGCACCCCACUUCUUCAGUGCUGAAAUUACAUAGGCCGCCAUGCCCAAGUUUCCCCUCCUCUUGUCCCUUACUUCCCAGCCCUCCCAGGUCUGUCUCCUACCUUUAAGGCCUUCCCCUGAAAAAGAAAGAAAGAAAGAAAGAAAGAAAGAAAGAGAGAAAGAAAGAAAGAAAGAAAGAAAGAAAGAAAGAAAGAAAGAAACCAGAAGAAAAAAAUAAAGAAUGAAAGAGGUAAAGAAAGAACCAAAAAAAAAAAAAAAGAGUUCAAAUUGUGUUGUCCGUAUAGUUACUGGAGCAUGGUCACAUUCCCUAUGGCCAGUCCCUUAAAGAAAAGAGAGUCCUUCCACACCAGCAUCCCCACCAGAAGCCAUCAGUCGUGGAAGCUAACCAGCCUCCUUAUCACAAUGUUUAAGAAUUCUCUCUUUGAUGGCUUCCGGUCUAGGUUUUUACUUUUGGGGGAUGGGGGUUGUCUGUCACUCUCUCUCAACUGUGAGUCAGCUGUCACUAAUACCACUGCAGAAGAGGCUUUCUUGUCCCUUAUAGUCAGUAAGAACAGGGAUCAUAGACUUCCACAUGGCAUCUGGUGACAGCAUGGACCAUGGACACCCAUCUGACCUCUGUACGCCCAAGUUUUUAUAUGUGGAUUCUGGGAACCCAAACCCGGUCUUCCUACUUUCCUGGCAGGUACUGUACUGACCAAGCUGUCUCUCCAGCUUCAUCUUUCCCAUUUUUUAAGCCAUGAGGAUAUUACUCAGAGUGAUAACCCUACUUGCUCAGAGCCUCAUAGCAGGGUCAGGUCCACCUACAUCUGCUUCCCUGAUUUCCCCAUCUCCCAGAAGAAAAUGCCUGGUCUAGAGCAAGAUGUCUUGUGAUGAGCAUUUUAAGAGGGUUUGGUGUACAGCUUGCAAGUGUCUCUGAUGACUGGGGCCUCUA